GACCACUGUAGAGAUAUGGUUUCCCCUUCGGGGGCAACGGUGACAGGUGGUGCAUGGUUGUCGUCAGCUCGUGUCGUGAGAUGUUGGGUUAAGUCCCGCAACGAGCGCAACCCUUGAUCUUAGUUGCCAUCAUUUAGUUGGGCACUCUAAGGUGACUGCCGGUGACAAACCGGAGGAAGGUGGGGAUGACGUCAAAUCAUCAUGCCCCUUAUGACCUGGGCUACACACGUGCUACAAUGGACGAUACAAACGGUUGCCAACUCGCGAGAGGGAGCUAAUCCGAUAAAGUCGUUCUCAGUUCGGAUUGUAGGCUGCAACUCGCCUACAUGAAGCCGGAAUCGCUAGUAAUCGCGGAUCAGCAUGCC
rnacentral:rRNA from 1 species